GUCAGCGACUUAUAUUCUGUAGCAAGGUUAACCGAAUAGGGGAGCCGGAGGGAAACCGAGUCUUAACCGGGCGUUAAGUUGCAGGGUAUAGACCCGAAACCCGGUGAUCUAGCCAUGGGCAGGUUGAAGGUUGGGUAACACUAACUGGAGGACCGAACCGACUAAUGUUGAAAAAUUAGCGGAUGACCUGUGGCUGGGGGUGAAAGGCCAAUCAAACCGGGAGAUAGCUGGUUCUCCCCGAAAGCUAUUUAGGUAGCGCCUCGUGAAUUCAUCUCCGGGGGUAGAGCACUGUUUCGGCUAGGGGGCCAUCCCGGCUUACCAACCCGAUGCAAACUGCGAAUACCGGAGAAUGUUAUCACGGGAGACACACGGCGGGUGCUAACGUCCGUCGUGAAGAGGGAAACAACCCAGACCGCCAGCUAAGGUCCCAAAGUCAUGGUUAAGUGGGAAACGAUGUGGGAAGGCCCAGACAGCCAGGAUGUUGGCUUAGAAGCAGCCAUCAUUUAAAGAAAGCGUAAUAGCUCACUGGUCGAGUCGGCCUGCGCGGAAGAUGUAACGGGGCUAAACCAUGCACCGAAGCUGCGGCAGCGACACUGUGUGUUGUUGGGUAGGGGAGCGUUCUGUAAGCCUGUGAAGGUGUGUCGUGAGGCAUGCUGGAGGUAUCAGAAGUGCGAAUGCUGACAUAAGUAACGAUAAAGCGGGUGAAAAGCCCGCUCGCCGGAAGACCAAGGGUUCCUGUCCAACGUUAAUCGGGGCAGGGUGAGUCGACCCCUAAGGCGAGGCCGAAAGGCGUAGUCGAUGGGAAACGGGUUAAUAUUCCCGUACUUGGUGUUACUGCGAAGGGGGGACGGAGAAGGCUAUGUUGGCCGGGCGACGGUUGUCCCGGUUUAAGCGUGUAGGUGUGUGUUCCAGGUAAAUCCGGUUCACUUUAACACUGAGGCGUGACGACGAGGCACUACGGUGCUGAAGCAACAAAUGCCCUGCUUCCAGGAAAAGCCUCUAAGCAUCAGGUAACAUCAAAUCGUACCCCAAACCGACACAGGUGGUCAGGUAGAGAAUACCAAGGCGCUUGAGAGAACUCGGGUGAAGGAACUAGGCAAAAUGGUGCCGUAACUUCGGGAGAAGGCACGCUGACACGUAGGUGAAGUGAUUUACUCAUGGAGCUGAAGUCAGUCGAAGAUACCAGCUGGCUGCAACUGUUUAUUAAAAACACAGCACUGUGCAAACACGAAAGUGGACGUAUACGGUGUGACGCCUGCCCGGUGCCGGAAGGUUAAUUGAUGGGGUCAGCGCAAGCGAAGCUCCUGAUCGAAGCCCCGGUAAACGGCGGCCGUAACUAUAACGGUCCUAAGGUAGCGAAAUUCCUUGUCGGGUAAGUUCCGACCUGCACGAAUGGCGUAAUGAUGGCCAGGCUGUCUCCACCCGAGACUCAGUGAAAUUGAACUCGCUGUGAAGAUGCAGUGUACCCGCGGCAAGACGGAAAGACCCCGUGAACCUUUACUAUAGCUUGACACUGAACAUUGAGCCUUGAUGUGUAGGAUAGGUGGGAGGCUUUGAAGUGUGGACGCCAGUCUGCAUGGAGCCGACCUUGAAAUACCACCCUUUAAUGUUUGAUGUUCUAACGUGGACCCGUUACCCGGGUUGCGGACAGUGUCUGGUGGGUAGUUUGACUGGGGCGGUCUCCUCCUAAAGAGUAACGGAGGAGCACGAAGGUUGGCUAAUCCUGGUCGGACAUCAGGAGGUUAGUGCAAUGGCAUAAGCCAGCUUGACUGCGAGCGUGACGGCGCGAGCAGGUGCGAAAGCAGGUCAUAGUGAUCCGGUGGUUCUGAAUGGAAGGGCCAUCGCUCAACGGAUAAAAGGUACUCCGGGGAUAACAGGCUGAUACCGCCCAAGAGUUCAUAUCGACGGCGGUGUUUGGCACCUCGAUGUCGGCUCAUCACAUCCUGGGGCUGAAGUAGGUCCCAAGGGUAUGGCUGUUCGCCAUUUAAAGUGGUACGCGAGCUGGGUUUAGAACGUCGUGAGACAGUUCGGUCCCUAUCUGCCGUGGGCGCUGGAGAACUGAGGGGGGCUGCUCCUAGUACGAGAGGACCGGAGUGGACGCAUCACUGGUGUUCGGGUUGUCAUGCCAAUGGCACUGCCCGGUAGCUAAAUGCGGAAGAGAUAAGUGCUGAAAGCAUCUAAGCACGAAACUUGCCCCGA
rnacentral:rRNA from 1 species